UGGGGAAUUUUGGACAAUGGGCGAAAGCCUGAUCCAGCAAUGCCGCGUGUGUGAAGAAGGCCUUCGGGUUGUAAAGCACUUUUGUCCGGAAAGAAAUCCUUGGCUCUAAUACAGUCGGGGGAUGACGGUACCGGAAGAAUAAGCACCGGCUAACUACGUGCCAGCAGCCGCGGUAAUACGUAGGGUGCAAGCGUUAAUCGGAAUUACUGGGCGUAAAGCGUGCGCAGGCGGUUUGCUAAGACCGAUGUGAAAUCCCCGGGCUCAACCUGGGAACUGCAUUGGUGACUGGCAGGCUAGAGUAUGGCAGAGGGGGGUAGAACUUCCACGUGUAGCAGUGAAAUGCGUAGAGAUGUGGAGGAAUACCGAUGGCGAAGG
rnacentral:rRNA from 1 species